rnacentral:rRNA from 1 species
AGAGUUUGAUCAUGGCUCAGGAUGAACGCUGGCGGCGUGCCUAACACAUGCAAGUCGAACGAAGCACUUACGGAUGAACCCUUCGGGGCGAUUUUGUUUGUGACUGAGUGGCGGACGGGUGAGUAACGCGUGGGGAACCUGCCUCUGUCAGGGGGAUAACAGUUAGAAAUGACUGCUAAUACCGCAUAAGCGCACAGAACCGCAUGGUUCAGUGUGAAAAGCCGAGACGGACAGAGAUGGACCCGCGUCUGAUUAGGUAGUUGGUGAGGUAACGGCCCACCAAGCCGACGAUCAGUAGCCGACCUGAGAGGGUGACCGGCCACAUUGGGACUGAGACACGGCCCAAACUCCUACGGGAGGCAGCAGUGGGGAAUAUUGCACAAUGGGGGAAACCCUGAUGCAGCGACGCCGCGUGAAGGAAGAAGUAUUUCGGUACGUAAACUUCUAUCAGCAGGGAAGAAACUGACGGUACCUGACUAAGAAGCUCCGGCUAAAUACGUGCCAGCAGCCGCGGUAAUACGUAUGGAGCAAGCGUUAUCCGGAUUUACUGGGUGUAAAGGGAGCGUAGGCGGCGGUGCAAGUCAGAGGUGAAAGCCCGGGGCUCAACUCCGGGACUGCCUUUGAAACUGUACGGCUGGAUUGCAGGAGAGGUAAGUGGAAUUCCUAGUGUAGCGGUGAAAUGCGUAGAUAUUAGGAGGAACACCAGUGGCGAAGGCGGCUUACUGGACUGUAAAUGACGCUGAGGCUCGAAAGCGUGGGGAGCAAACAGGAUUAGAUACCCUGGUAGUCCACGCGGUAAA